rnacentral:tRNA from 2 species
AGGCGUGUAGCUCAGUGGGAGAGCGCUACCCCGACACGGUAGAGGUCGGCGGUUCAAUCCCGCCCGCGCCUACCA